rnacentral:rRNA from 1 species
AUUGAACGCUGGCGGCAGGCCUAACACAUGCAAGUCGAACGGUAACAGGGAUCAGCUUGCUGAUUCGCUGACGAGUGGCGGACGGGUGAGUAAUGUCUGGGAAACUGCCUGAUGGAGGGGGAUAACUACUGGAAGCGGUAGCUAAUACCGCAUAACGUCGCAAGACCAAAGAGGGGGACCUUCGGGCCUCUUGCCAUCGGAUGUGCCCAGAUGGGAUUAGCUAGUAGGUGGGGUAACGGCUCACCUAGGCGACGAUCCCUAGCUGGUCUGAGAGGAUGACCAGCCACACUGGAACUGAGACACGGUCCAGACUCCUACGGGAGGCAGCAGUGGGGAAUAUUGCACAAUGGGCGCAAGCCUGAUGCAGCCAUGCCGCGUGUAUGAAGAAGGCCUUCGGGUUGUAAAGUACUUUCAGCGGGGAGGAAGGGAGUAAAGUUAAUACCUUUGCUCAUUGACGUUACCCGCAGAAGAAGCACCGGCUAACUCCGUG